GAUAUCUAUUCUUAUUUGCCUAAUUUCCUCACUUAAAUGUAUCUUGUGAUUAAACAUUUUCUUAGCGAGCUUGGUCAGGGCUGCACCGAGUUUCUUUUCAUAAACAUUGGCAAGUGAAUUUAACAGCCUUGUUUGUAUUAGCUGGAGGUUUCAUUUGCAUAGUGAUUGUUCUUAUGAAACAAAAUAAUCACUUGCAGUUUAUGAAACUGUAUAAAUACUGGGGUCUGGAGCUGGGUGCCUGCGCAGGCCUUUUUCUUCCCACAUGGAAAUCCAUCCAUCCGGUUCAGGGAGGAAACCCAGGCUUCAGGAAGAGGAUUUUCUUGCUGGAGAGGUGUUUCUAGGGCUGUGGGCAUUGCCUGGUGGGUGGAACUUGUGGAGCCCAUUCAGGGGAGGGGCAAGGGAGGGAGGGGGGCCGAGGUGAGCGCAAGGAAAUGUCCAGACUCCAGUAUCUGCUCCUUUAAUGUUAUAUUCUUUCUGCCUUUUUGAUUAAGGUUGCAUUCUGGUGGCCUGAGGCCCAGUGUUGCCCACAGAUAUGUUUUGAUUGGGUUGUGCUGUGUCUAAAAGAAAUAAACCAACAUUGAAAAAUGUGGAGAUUUCACAGAAGCAUUCAUUCAGAUUUCUUGCUUCUCUCUCAUAAUAGCUGGGGUAGACUUGGGACUGCUAGGCCCGCUGUCCUGCUUAGUGACAGUCCUGGUGGUGGUGGGGGUGGAGGCUGCUCCAACAGGUGGGGUAUAUUCAUCACAGCCCCUCUGCUCACGUCACCCAUUUACGUGCCUGCCGGCCCUUGGGGAUUAGGGAUCCUGAUCGCAGUGGGUCUGUCCUCUCAGUGUCCUGCAAGCUUGAGGCUCCUGUGUUUCACUGAAAUGCUCUGUAGGCCCCUGCUGAUCUGUUAUGAGAUGUCUGCUCAGCCUUGGCCUAUUUGAGGAGCUUCCCCUGGGCCCCCUGGCUCUGCCCCAGGGGCUCUGGGUUCCAGGCCUCCUGAUGUCCGUAUUGGCCAGGGGCAGAGAUCUGGAAAAGGAGCCACUUUGGGAGGUCACACCCUUAUUCCCAGGAGCUUGCCUUUGCUCAGAACAUUCCUGGCCUCCUCUUCAGCAGCUCCCUUUAGAGCCUACUGCCCCCAGAAGACAGGCGUUUCAUGAUCUCACGCUGUUUUUUAGACUCAAGCAGCAUCGCCCAGCUUGGUCAGCAGGCUUGGACCGAAUAACUUCUUAGCUGAUUCUAAUACAUUUUCAAUCUACUCGUGUUGGGUGGGCCCAGAAUAACACCUGUACAGUUGCAGAUGGUUUGACAAAGGAUCUGGGCUGGAGUUGGUUUUAGAGCUAAGGAAUGGUGCCUGCUCCCCACCCCCCAGAUGACCCAGCAGAGCCCUCAGCUAUCUGGUAGCCUUUCUGAAGCCCCUUCACAUUGUAGGAGGAAAAGUCAGAAGUAACAGAGAAAGUGGGUGAAACAUUAAUGCCAGCAACUUCUUCAUUCUGCAGAACUCUGUCCCUUAGCCUGGGUAUCUUGAGCACCGGUUAGAAAGUAGCUCCUGUAAAUCCCAUUGUACCUCCAGGCCUUCAUCAUGUACAGCCCUGGUUGAAAACUAUACCUGUCGGUCCUAUAUAAAGGUCUGGUGUCCUUUAUAUAGUAUCUCAUGUUAUCCUCACAGUAGCUUUAAGUGGUAGUGAUGUUAUCCCCAUUUUAUAGAUGAGCAAACUAAGGCUCUGAGGCCCAAGGUUACACAGCUGUUGAAUGGAGGAGCUGAGAUUUGAACCCAGGCCUCCUGGCUCUAGAGCCUACUCUCUUAAUAUCUAUCUACCUAUCUAUAUAUCUAUAUAUCUAUCUAUAUAUAUAUAUACACACACACACAUAUAGUAUAUAUGUAGAUAGUAGAUAUAUAUAUACAUAUAUAGUAAUACAUAUAUAUGUAGGUAGUAGAUAUAUGUACAUAUAUAGUAUAUAUGUAUGUAUGUGUGUGUGUACACACAUGGGAGUAUUACAAGGAAAAAAUGACCUAAGAUCUUAUUGUUACAUCUACUGAGACUUCCCAGGUGGCUCAGUGGUAAAGAAUCUGCCUGCCAGUGCAGGAGACCAUGGAAACACGGGUUCAAUUCCUGUGCAGGAAGAUCCCCUGGAGGAGGAAAUGGCAACCCACUCCAGUAUUCUUGCCUGAAAAGUCUCAUGGGAAGAGGAGCCUGACGGGCUACAGUCCAUGAGGUCGCAAAGAGUCAGACAUGACUGAGUACGCACACACACAACCUCUACUGAUUAGAGCAGGAACAUGGACUUGGGCAUGGUGAGGUUUUUCUUUUUUUAAACUAUUAUUAGAUGGUGUCAUUAAGCAUGAUGCUUUCUUCACUUUUCUAUUUUUGAUCAUUUCACUGCUCUGAACAGAAUUUCCCCCCAAGAUCCUGAGGUUGUAAAUUUCCUUUGGAGAGAGGCUUGUACCUCUAACUGUUUGAGGCAGGGAGUAGCACGGAGAAACCUGUAGGGUCUUCUGGAAAGAGAAAGAGCAAACAGCUAAGCCAGACAUUCUGUUUUGAUAGAACUGGCUGGCUGAAGAGGAAUCCUAUCAGUUGGGAUGGAAGACGUGAAAUCCAGGUUCAAAACAGCUCAAGCAUAAAGAGGAUGUAGUAUCUUAUACUUAUACCUGAAGUCUGGAGAGAGUGUGGCUUCAGAGUGCUUUGUGAGGCAUUGAACACUGUCAGCAGUAACUCAGGUGCCUUCUGUCUUUAUGUUCUGUCCUGCUUAAUAUAUUGGCUCUUGGCUACAGAUGUCUCCUCAUGGUGAAGAAAUGGCUGCAUUGGUGCCAGACAUCACACCCUCACUCAUCAAUGUCCCAAAACCAGAAGAGAGAAGCUCCCUUACACAGGUCUGUCUUUAGAGGAAGCAUACUUUUCCUAAAUGGCCUUCUGGUCCCUCCCUUGUGUCUCAUUGGUAAGAAUGGCCUCCCCUGCAGAUCCUAGACCCACACAGGCUAGAGUAUAGAGCAUCACUCCUGGGGCUCAUGAGAGCCCCAGCUUUCCUUAGAUUUAGUGACUUCUGGAGAUAGUCAACAAGAAAGAAAUGGAUGUGGGGAGGUACCCAGUGCUGUCUGGGGACAAGCAGUCUCCAGGAGGCCUGUGCCAACGCCUGUGUCUCUUUCCAUGCAAGGUUCUGGAAUACCUCCCUCAUCUCAUUAUGGCCCUCUCCCAUAUCCUGAUCUUCCUAGUCCCUCUUUCCCCACUUCCUGUUCUAGGACUACAUCAUUCCUUUGUCUUUCCCUCUGAUGGAAUCACUUGCCCCUCUUUCUUGUCUGAUUGGUUCAUUCUCAUCCUUCUGGACUCAGUGCAGUGCCGCCUUUCCUGACUACUUAUCUCCCAAACUGGGUCCACUGCUCUUGAUCUCUAUUUUUUUUUAAAUUGUCAUGUUAGUCUCAAUAGGAAUUUAUUUUUGUGUUUACUUGUUUAUGGUCUUCCUUUUGCACUGGACUCUCAGCUCUAUUUGAGACAGGGACUGAGUUUGACUUGUCCACUCUGUGUCCCUAGGCUUCAGGAGAAGGACCAGUGGGGAGGAGGAGGGAUUUAGCAAGAGCCUGGCAUGGAGCAGGCAUUUAGUAAAUAUGCACUGGAUGGAGGACCUACCGGAAUCCCCCGUCUCUUUCCUCUGCCUCAUCUGUUUCUGUAUCCCUCUCCCUUGGACUCCAAAUUCCUUCCUGUGUUCUUGGCUCUUUGAGGAAGAGGAGAGACAAAAUAUCUCCAUGAGUCUGUGGACCAUUUUCUCUUUACAGUGGCCAGGCUGCUGACGCCUGUGUAGAUGCUUGGCCCAGUGGCUGAAGCCAGUGGGCAGCAUGGAUGCAUGUCUGGAUGUCUGGAUCUGACCCUUGCCCACAUGUGUCCCGAGGACUCAUGGCUUUGCCCCAAGGAGGCAAAGGGGGUUAUAUUUUGUGGCUGGGAGCUCCCUCACCUGUGAGACUGAGGAGCUGGCCCCUUUGCAGGGGCCUAUUGGGUCCAUCCCAUUCCUGGCAAAGCCAUUUAGUUAUUAGUCUUGCUGAUGUUAAAUUGUAAGGCUGGCAUGGGAGCCAGCUCAUUACUUUGGACAAGUCAAAGGUGGAGAUGGUUGGCUGUAGUUCUGUGAAGUUUAAAGACAGGGAAUCUGAAUACUUUUGAGGAAUUUUUUGACCCAAAUAAUUAGGUUGACCUUUGACUCAGAUGAAGUGGAUUCUAGGGGACACUCCCAUGAUGUGUUACCAUACGACUGGGCAGGGGGAGAGAAGAGGGCAAUCCCUGGCUAGGUUGGCCAACACUGAGGUUUGGGUGAGGGCACAGCAGGGGUCUUGACCCAAAGGUGGUGGGUGGGACAGUUUGGAUGCGCUUGAAGCUCUUCCUCAUUUGGGUCCUCAGACUGCCAGAGACAUCACUCAGAGCUUUAGGCUGAGGUCUCUCCUGCAGGGCAGAGAAAGAACCUGCCUGCAGCUGCAGACCUCUUCUCCAUGGCUGGUCGUACAGCAAAUCAUAGCCUUGCUUCUGUGUGCAGGCGAGACCCAGCGUGUGUGUACACGGGUCCACGCGGGCCUUGCCUGGGGCCCGGCGCCCACCCCAGGGACCCUUUGGGGAAUGCGUUGGCUGCAGUUUGAGCCUAAUGAGCAAAGUAUUAGGUGGUGGGGCUGCAGGUUCCCUGCCGGAGCUUGGUCUCCCCGAGGCCCGCAAAGUGGAGCCAUUGAAGACGGCGGAGGCUUUCCUAGCGCCUGCUGUUGCUUUUAGGGAUCUUGCUUAUGUUGCCUUUUCUUUUUCAGUGGGAAGUGUCGGUGUGAGUAAUUAUAUAUAUUUUCACAAACUCGAACUAUGCUUCAUUUAAACUUCUAUAAACAUGUCUGUAUAAUUCUAAUUAACUGCUCGCAUAAAGCCAUCAGAAAGUUACACGGGGAAAGCUCAUUUGCCAGACUGUUGCCUAAAAGCCAAGGAAAAUAUUAUGUUCUUCCAACAAACGGACUAUUCAUGUAGGCCGUUCCCAAGAUAAACAGGAGAUAUUUGAGGACAAGUGAGAUUUGAAGCAGGGAUGGCCGAGCCUCUUGUAAGUGGUGUUCAGCAGUGUUGGCAGGGUGGGUGGCUUGAUUGAGUGAUAAAUGCUCUUCAAGAAAAAUGCCCCGGACUUGGAAUGUGGGGUCAGGACCCUGGAGAUGGGCCAUCUUGUGGUGUUCUUGUUAAAGUCUGUGGGCAGGAGGCCACUCUGAAUUAGUGAAAAGUCUGAAUCAGAGAAGAGUCAAGCUCUUUCAGUAGUUUGUGCUUGGGUUACUAAGACAGUGUGGGCAAAAGAGAGCCUUGGGGCUGCUUUAAUAAGGGGGUCGGGAUGACUUAAAGUCAACCUCAUUCAUUCCUUCUUUCAUUCACUCCUCCUGUCGAUUAUUGCUAGGCACCUGGGCACCUGACCCAGAGCCACAGUAGGGCUCUGGGUGUGACAGCCAACCAACAUUUGUGCCCUCCUGGAGCCCAUGUCUGGUUGUUGGUGGUGGCAGGGGGGUAGUGAACAUGGUAAGUGAGCACCCAUUGUGUGGUGUGUUAGUGAUCAGGGCUCAGGAGAGAGUGAAGGGGGAGCGGGAUGGGAGCCCGACUUGGUGGGUGUGGUUUUCAGUUGAGUCAAGGAAGGUCUGCCUCCCUGAAGAGGUGACUGUGAGUGAAGACAUGAAGGAGGUGCAGACUUUCUGGGUAGUGAGAGCAGCAUGUGCAAAAGCCCCGUGCAGAAGAGUGCUUGGGUGUCUGAGAAAGGUGAGAAGGCCCGGGUGCCUGGAGCUGAGCAGGUGAUGGGGAGAAGUGGGUGAUGACGUUGGACAGCUGAUUGAGGGGCAGGGAAAUGUAAUCCAGUCUUUUAUUAUAUGCAAGAAGACACUUUUUAAAAAAACUUUUUGGCUGCACCUCUUGGCAUGUGCAAUCUUAGUUCCCGGACCAGGGAUCGAACCUGCUCCUGCUGAAUUGGACGGCAGAGUUUAACCAUUGGACCAUUCCAGGGAAGUCCCAGAAGAAGAUACUUCUGAACUGCUUUUCCUUUACUUCAUAAGAUGAAAAAGACUUCAACAUUUUGUCACACUUGCUCUAUCGCAGAUGGUGUGAAUAAUAUACAAAAAUAUAGAGAAGAAAAUAAAAUCCCCCCAAAUAUCCCUUUGCAGGGGGUCACUGUUUCACGUGUGGGAUGCUCCUUUCAUGCCUUCUCAUUUUAUCAUCUCCUCUAGCUUCUUUCCUCCCAGCCUUUGCGAAGGUUGUUGAGAAAUGCUCAGUCAGACCCCUGCUUAGUAUCACAGGUGACUAUUUUGAGAUGGAAGAUUGAGGAGUUUUUUUUGUGCUCUUAAAAAACUUGAAAUUAGAGUCCAGGUAGUUUUUUAGGUGGUUUUUGACAGCUGAAAAAACGGUUGCAAAGGAAGCCUCUGGAGGGCUGAUGGUUUUGUGUAGACACAAACUUUCAGUGGUAACAGUGAACUUUUUUUGAGUCCUUACUAGGUCCUAGGUGCAAGACAUAAGUAGUUUUUGCUCAGUUCUCUUAUUUUUGCCAAUGUUUUACUGUGGAUAAAACAGACACACACACACACAAAGAAAAAAAAACAAAGAGAACAUAAAACUGACUCUUUAGACCAUUUUUGAGUGCACAGUUCAGGGUAUUAAGUGUGUUCAUGUUGUUGUGCAGCCUUCUCCACUCUCCAUCUCCAUAAUUUUUCAUCUUGUAAAACUGAAGUUCUCAACACGUUAAACAAUAACUCCCCACUUGCCUCUUCCUUCAGCCCCUGGUAACUACUAUUUUCGUUUCUGCCUCUAUGGAUUUGACUACUCUCAGUACCUCAUAGAAAAAUGGAAUCAUACUGGGGACUGCCCUGGUGGUCCUGUGGUUAAGGCUGCCUGCAUCCAUGGCAGGAGGUGAGGGUUCCAUCCCCGGUUGAGGGUCCCACAAGCCGUAUGGCUUGGCCAAAAGAAAAGAGAAAAAAGUGGAAUCAUACAGUAUUUGAUUUUAGCACAGUGUCCUCAAGGUACAUCCGUGAUGUAGCAUCCACUGCGUAGAUACACUGUUACUUUGUUGACCCAUUCAUCUGUCAGUACACACUAGGUUAUUUCCAUCUCUGGGCUGUUGUGAACAAUGCUGCUAUAAACAUGGGUGUGUGUGUGUCUGUUUCGCACCCUUCUUUCAGUUCUUUUGACUAUAUACCCAGAAAUAAAACUGCUGAAUUAUAUGGUGAUUCUACUUUUAAUUUUUCUGUAGUGGCUACACCAUUUUAUAUUCCCACCAACAAUGGGCAAGAGUCCCAUUUUCUUCACAUCCUUGACACUUGUUAUUUUCUGUUGUCUUUUCUAACUUUUUUUGAUAGUAGCCAUCCUCUUGUAUGAGGUGGUGUCUCAUUGUAGCUUUGAUGUGCAUUUCCCUAAUGAUUAGUGAUGUUAAACAUCUUUUCAUGUAUUAUUGACCAUUUGUAGGUCUUCUUUGAACAAACAUCUAUUGAAGUUUUUUAUUUAUUUUUGAAUCAGAUUUUUUUUUGUUGUCGAGAUUUUGGAGUUUUCCAUAUAUCCUGGAUAUAUAAUUUGCAAGGGCUUUCAUGGUAACUCAGACGGUAAAGAAUCUGCUUGCUUUGCGAGAAACUGGGGUUCGAUCCCUCGGUCGGGAAGAUCCCCUGGAGAAGGGAGUGGCUACCUUCUCCAGUAUUCUUGCUUGGAAAACCCCAUGGGCAGAGGAACCUGGCGGGCUACAGUCUAAGGAGUCGCAAAGACCUGGAUUCAACUUAAGUGACUGAACAUGCACGAUCAUUUACAAGUCUUUUCUUUCAGUCUGUGUCAGUUUUCUUGUAAUUUUGAAAUAAUCUCUAUGAAGUUGUUGUGAUUAUUAUUAUUGGUAAUAAACUGAGAAUCAGGGAGGUUAUUGACUUUCCCCAAAUCACACAGAUAAUCAGAGCUGAUAAUGGGACCUCAACAUUUGAAUCCUAAUUCUGGGCAGGAGUUGGGUUCCAGGCUUCACAAGGCCAUCUGCAUGGAAACCCAUGUGAAGGCAUUCGGGGCAUCCUUAUGGCAAGGAGCCUGGCUCCCCCGCUAUCCCCAGGCUUACCAUGUGGCCCCUGCUGCCCUUCUUCCCUGGGCCAUGUCGAGGUGCUGCCUCUCUGCUCUGUACUCUCAGGAGAGGCACCUUAGAAGGUUCUCUCUCGGUCCUGUGGGCUGGGUGGAUCAGCGGUGGAUGCCUUCACGCAUAUCCGUUCAGCCCAGCCCUUGGCAUGUGGCAGCCCUUUUUAAUAAGCAGAGCUUUUAUUACUGGCAAAUUCUUCUAAAACCCUGUCGGGCCUUAGAAGAGGGAUACCUGUAGCCCUCUGUGUCUCAGGGGCUGAGUGAAUUAGACUUGGAUGUGAGGGUCAGUUUGUAGCUGCUUCAUUCAUUCACUCCCUCAUUCAUUCAUAUCCUGGUGUGAUUUUUUUUUUUUCCAGCAAGGAGAUUCCCCUGGUCUCAAGUUUCCGGAGGCACCCGGUACAAUCUAGAUUCCAAUUAGCUUAAUUGCUUCAUAUUAGACUUCUUAGAAAAGAUUUUUUUUUCCUGCUGAUGGCUGCGGUUCCAGGAAUGUCUACCCCCACCGCCUUCCUUCCUGCCUCCUCCCAAGCUUGUUUCUUUCAACUUUAUUUCUCCAGGACUGCUGCUGCUGCUGCUAAGUCGCUUCAGUCGUGUCUUCUCCAUACCUAUUAGUCUCAGGGCUAUAGCAUCAGUUCAUGUUGGAGAGGCCAAAGCAGGGUGGAGAAACAGAAAAAACAGAAACAGUGUGGACACCAGAAAGAAAUUGUAUAUAAGAUACAUAUAUAUAUAUGAAAUUUAUAUGUAUCAUACACAUAUCUUGAUACAUUCACAUAUCUCUUUAAACAGAAAAUUCCUCGUUAGUUGUGUGUGUGUGUACAUUUCAGUGAAAGAACUUGGACACAGACUCUACCCUGAGUUCUGACCCUCUCCCUUUUCCUCUUGCCAUCAACACCAGAUUUUUUAAAAAGUACUUUCAACAACCAGAGGAAACAGUUACAUCCUGAUUGACACACAGGAUGUUGGAGCAGCAUUCUUGCUGUUAAGUGAUCAGGAUUUCAGCCAAGGGAAUAUAAUGAAAUCCACAUAAAAAUUUAUUUACCUAAUGAAAAUCCUCGAGUAAUGCAUAAGUGGUUCUCUGAUAAUAAAAUGCAAAUCUAAAACUAUAACCAGGAGGACAAUAAUCUUCAUUAAACGUAUUGUCUAGAGGAAGCCCAUGACAUCCACUUAACAGUGAUUUGAUUUGUUCAGUAAUUUCCACGUAAUAUUUAAACUUUAUUUCGAGCCUUAAAAACCCACCCAUGAGUUUCUUUCCCAUCGGCGAGGAGGGCGGCUGCUGGUGGGUGAGGGUGCCUGCCUGGCGAGUUUCAUGGCCUCUGCAAUGGGCACCUAGAACACAGUCCUUUUCUAGGUGACUCAGUGUCUGCUGGAGAGACGGGGUCCAGGGAGAGGCAGCAAGGGCUCAGGUUUCCUUCUGUGGAGGAGACCCAGAAAAGCUCCUCCUAUUCUGUAAAAAAAGUAAGAUCAGAUGACUAGAAGGGUUUGGGUGAGCCUCCCAGGUUUCUCCCUGAGCCCAGUGCUCCUGCCUCCUGGAGAGCUGACCAGGGCUGAGGACUUCAGUGAUGCUCUCCCAUCACUCGAGUGCUGGUGGACAUCUCUGCAGAUGCUCCCAGGACCACCUUGCAGCCUCCGUCCUUUAGGAUUGAAUCCAUCAGACUCCUCUGUCCAUGGGAUUCUCCAAGCAAGAAUACUGGAGCGGGUGGCCAUGCCCUCCUCCAGGGGAUCUUCCAGACCCAGGGAUCGAACCUGCAUCACCUGCGUCUCCUGCUUUGCCAGGUGGAUUCUUUACCGCUGAGCCGCCGGAGAAGCCCUUGUGUCUGAGUCCGUUUGUCCAAUUUGAAACUGAUGAUCUAUGCCCUAGAGGACCAAAAUGAACCUUUGAGACUUUGAACAAUCAUGAAAUCCCAAAUAAACAGCAGAUUAAGGUUACUACUGUGUGUGUAUGUGUGUGUAUAUGCACAUGUGCUUGUAUGUGUGUGAAGUGUUCUCAUCAAAGAAAAUGAUAUUCGCAUUCUUCCAAAUCUUUUUUUCCUCCGCUUUUCUUUUCUUAUCAAGUUGCAACUUUGUUUCUCUUUGAUCUGAUGCAGUGUGCCGUGAAAAUCUAUUAAAAUGAAAGGAAGAUAACAAAAUCAGCCGUAAUCUCUUUCUAGAGGGGGCAUGGGACUGCAGCUAAGAACGAAGGCCUUUUCAAAUGCCAGCCAGCUCCGGGCUCACUAGCCGUGUGCCCUUGUCCUUCCUGGCCUCAGUUUCCUUGCCUAGAAGUCCGCAUUAACAUGGUUUUUCUGCACAGUAGUGAAGAUUAAACAAGAUAAUGUUUGUAAAGUGCUUGGCAGAGCGCUGGCACUCAGACAGCGCUUAAUAAACGGGAGCUGCUUUGUUGUCUGAGAAAAGGUUGCGCUGAACAGAGGCCGGUGAAAUGGAGAAGUGAGGCUCUUAUCCAGGUGGUGCUGCCAGCCGCCGGCAGGCCGGCCAGCCCUAGUGCCCAGAGCUUCCAUCCAAGGGCUGGCUCAGGUUACUCCCGGCCCAUUAACAAUGCUGGUCCAAGCUUGGAGCCUCUUAAGUUCAAGGUCAAUCACAGGCCUUAUCCCCCACCGGGCCUCUCUGCUUUGCCGAGUCAUUAGUCACCAGGGUGGCCUGAUGAGAGCGUGGGGAUGACUCAGUGAGGCUGAUCCCUUCUUCUGGGCCACACCCCAGGGCAAGGCCUUGCUGGCAGAGGGUCCGUAGUGUCGGCCAUCCAGAGAGAUUGAGGUUCCAUUCACAUUCCUGGAAAAGUAGUUAAAUCCUGGCUUUGCAUAUGACUAGCCGGACAAGUCAUUUCACCCGUCUGAGCCUCAGUUUUCUCAUCUGCUAAAUGGGGGUAGCAGUAGUAUUUUAUCUCAGAAGGUUGCUUUGAGGAGGCUAGGGGAUGGAACAGGCUUACUAGCCUGCAGUGAGCAAUCCUACUG